rnacentral:rRNA from 1 species
UACGUAGGUGGCGAGCGUUGUCCGGAUUUAUUGGGCGUAAAGAGCCCGCAGGCGGCUCGGCAAGUUUCAGGUGAAAUCUCCCGGCUUAACCGGGAGGGUGCCUGGAAAACUGCCGGGCUUGAGGCAGGGAGAGGGAUGCGGAAUUCCCGGUGUAGUGGUGAAAUGCGUAGAUAUCGGGAGGAACACCUGUGGCGAAAGCGGCUCACUGGACCACAACUGACGCUGAGGCGCGAAAGCUAGGGGAGCAAACAGG